rnacentral:lncRNA from 1 species
CAGAAAAUAAAUAUACAGGAAUGUGGCAGAAGUAGACCAUGGCAUAAUGUUUACAACCACUUUCCCGUCGUAUUUGGAGCCGGCGUGUGCUGCUCUGCCAUUGUACAGGUAUGACUAA